rnacentral:lncRNA from 1 species
AAUACGGUUUCCAUCCACACGCUGUAGCGCCAGCUCCCGCCUGACUGUCUGCGUAAAGCUCGGCGAAUCUCAAGUGGACCGAGAGGAAUUGGUUCAGUAAAAUUUAUAUGGCUGCCAUCUCGGCGUGUCCUGAUUGACAACUACUUUCGUGGCAGCGCGUGAGAGUGCGAUGAGGAGAGGAGCCAGAGAGUGAGGCGAUGGGCUGCACCUCUGCUAAGCAGGUGUCGGCCGUGCCCAGCGAUGAGGAGGGCCGGGGCAAGGCCUACAGCAACGGAGACCUCUUCACCGACGAGUACAAGAUGAAGGGAGUGGAGGAGGUGAAGUACAUGCGUGGAGAGGAGGACCGGGUGAACGCACGCAACCAGGAGAACCUGGAGAAGACCUCUUUACAGUACAGGGGGAAACCGCACAAAGAAGGCUCUGGAGCCAACGCCAACAGGACAAAUAUCCACACAUCAGAGAGCCAGCAGGAGUUCUUCAGGAUGUUGGAUGAGAAGAUUGAGAAGGGACUGGACUACUGUUCAGAGGAAGAAGAGGCAGAGGAUGGGACAUAGCAAACAAGGCCUGACUCAACCCCCUACAGAGAGCCUCCCAGAGUGUGUGCGAGUGCAUGUUCGUCUGAAUCAGUGUGUGUAUGUUCCACUGCCUUUGUAUGUGAUUCUGUAUGUGUCUGUGUGAGCAUGUAGGUUUUUGGUGUGUGAAAGAGCGAUGGAUAGCUAUUCUCAAAGACUGUUGCCCCCCUCUUGGCUGUCGUCCCAUUGGGCCCCUGAGUGGAUUACUGGAGGGAGAGACGAACGAGGAGACAUACAGACAGACAUGUGGACUCACUACCCUGCAGGACUAUGGAGAGAUGCACAUGGAGACAGACAAACGGACAUGUGGACUCACUGCCCUGCAGGACUAUGGAGAGACCCUCCCCUCUAUCCCAACUACCACCCCAGUGAACUGUACUGUGGUCCCUGGUCCAGCUUUGUGUAUACCACCCCCUCAUCACUACAACAUGGAGAAGGAGGACGGACAGAGGAAGAAUGAGCCUUACGGCAGUCUGGGAGACACCCUCCUGGCUUCCACCCUCCAUGGCCCUGACUACUGUGCUUUGCCUGUGAGGAGCAGAGAUGUGGAUAGAGAAAGAGGGGUGCUGGGGAGGGGGUGGUACUUCCAUAACCCCCAUCACAGAGGCUCGCUGCUGCAGUGGGCCAGAGAGGAUCCGAGAGAGGGAAGGGGUAGGGGGAGGGAGGGAGGGAGGGAAAGAAAAAUCUAGAUAUUUUAAUAAGAGAAAGAAGAGUCAGUGAGUGGCUUAUUUUGAAAUUCUGAACUCCUGCCUUUUUGAAGGACUUUUUUAUUAUGUUGAUCCAGUUCAUUAUUUUUGGUUUAUUUUAAUGUUUUUUUUUUUAAAUUAUUAUUAUUUGGCUUCUAUCAUAGUGCAUCACCUCCUGCAGGCUACAGCUCUAUAGGUCAGAGUUCCUGUGUCACUACACCUGUCCUCUUAAAUAUACCCUCAACGCUAAUAUACCAGACCCUGGCUAUGUGAAACACACUCCACUUCAUAUUCAUAGAUGCAGACACAGAAGUGCACACUCAUACUUUCAGAUACACACAGACAAAUGCAGAUAGACUCAUACACACACAUAUGCCAUUGUAUUCCUGUCGUUCUUUAGCCGCGUGUUAUGUAAGUAUGUUAAUAGGCUGUGAUGUUGAGGGUUUUGGGUGAAUGUUGGAACCAGCAGCUGUGGGUUUCUGCUGCUGGACUUCUUCAUGUUCACUUGUUGUGUUUAUUACUCUUUCCUCUGCAUUGGUAGCCCAGCCUCCACUUCUCUUCAACUCAGCAGUAUUGAUGCUUACUGGCAGCGUGGAGUCACCCUCUGUUGACACACACACACCCACACACCGCCUUUUCAUGGAAGUGAGAAGUGAGAUUUAAAGGAAAAGAGGUGUGGUUGCCUGGGAGACAAAGCCCUGAACGUUCUUCUGUCAUCAUUACUGGAUCGUUCCUUUUUCAUUUGAUUUUCAGUACUUUUUGUUUUUCUAUUAAAAAUAAAAACACAGGAGCUGUUCAUCUGCUGUGUGUAUCUAUCAGUGGUGGAAAAAGUACCCAAUUGUCAUACUUGAGUAAAAGUAAAGAUACCUUAAUAGAAAAUGACUCAAGUCAAAGUCACCCAGUAAAUUAC